rnacentral:lncRNA from 1 species
AUGGAUAAGGAGUCGAGCACCGACACGAAGCCCAAGAAGACGUUGCUGAUGUUCAGGAGGAGGCAGAAGAUACCCAACUCUGAGUCCUGGGCAGCAGCUGAGGAGGCCGAGGAGCACCAUGACUCCCGUGCAGCCCCUGGCAUGCAGGCAGCAGCAGCAGAGAGCCGGGAAGCAGCUCCACACAGCCCCGGGGCCUGCUGCCCGGCUCUGCUGCAUUCACUGCAGCGCGGCUCCCGGGCCAUCCUCAGCAGGGUGGCGGCCACGAUCCGGCGAUGCAGCCAGCAGCCGGGGACACAGAAAUCCGGGUCACACCUGCAUCGGGCCACGGAGGCAGUGUCAGCAGCAGCAGCUCCUGCAGCAAGGGCAGAGAGAUGGGCACAGGCCUCGCACAGCCCCUGCUGCCCCCUCACUGCCCUGCCCAGCCCGCCGGGAGCUGUCGGGGGGCAGGGGGCAGGAGCAGCAGUGGGGACAGUCCUGGAAACAUCAGGGCAUGAGAAGGUCUGCUUCAGCCUGGAGCCAGACUGGGAAUGGGACAGCCCCAGAGAGCUGUCCCAGGAGGAAUACGACCCAGAGCAGGGCUGCAGCAGUGGAGAAGUGAGAUCCCCUGUGAGGCCACACGAGGCCUGGGCAGAGCACUGGAACCUUCCCUCAUGCUCAGCUGCAGGCCAAGCCUCAGCUUCGCCCGGCAGAGCCCUUCCCAGCUGGGAAGAGGACUCCAUUUCAGAAACAAUGCUGGCUGGCUUGCCCCCCAGCCCCUCACCCAGGCAGGUGGAGGCUCGCAGGCAGUGGGCAAUAGCAGCAGCGAGGAUACUCCUGCCAGGGCUGCAGAACGUGGAGGAGGACGCCUCAGAGGAGGGAGAAGCCAGCAGCAGCGGGGAUGAGAGCGACUACAUGUCCUGUAAUUAUGAACCGAGUCACCUGGAGCCUUGCAAAGGCAGAGGACUCUUAGAGCUUUCUCCUCAAACCAGAGAUGAGCCAGCUGCCAAAUGGGAAGACAGGAGCACGGAAGAGCUGUCAGAUAAGAGGAAUGUCAUCACUAUCCACACUAUCUGGGUAAACCCUCGCUACCCACAGCUCCUGAUGGACCCUGACUUGCUGCUAGAAGAAGAGGAAGAUGCUGAGCUGCCCAGCACAUCUCAUGCCCUGGCAGCUCCCGGGGACACCCAGCCAGCAGGUGCUGCCCCAGCUGGAGGUUCUGAGGACAAGGAGCACCCUGUGCACACCACUGCUCAGCCAUAA